UGGUUUUUAAAAAAUGUGUCUGUGGAAGUUUAAUUUUUAUGUAGUCACAUCUCUCAGUUUUUUUCCAUUGCAUUUAUUCUCAGAAUGCUUCUCCCUGCCCUGAGAUUAGAUAAGCAGUCAUUUGUUCUUUCUUGAGUUAUUUUGAGAUUUCAGUUUUAACAUUUUCUUCUAUAAUCCAUGUGGCUGGGUUUUGGGAUCUGGCUAACCCCCGCCAUGCCAGUAGCCUGAGGGGCCCAGCCCCACUUGUUGAACAGCCGCUCUCCCCGCCCCACCCUGCCUGCCCACCCGCCCUGGUCUCUCCAGGAAUCAUGUUCGUUCAGGAGGAGGCCCUGGCCAGCAGCCUCUCGUCCACUGACAGUCUGACUCCCGAGCACCAGCCCAUUGCCCAGGGAUGUUCUGAUUCCUUGGAGUCCAUCCCUGCGGGACAGGCAGCUUCCGAUGAUUUAAGGGACGUGCCAGGAGCUGUUGGUGGUGCAAGCCCAGAACAUGCCGAGCCGGAGGUCCAGGUGGUGCCGGGGUCUGGCCAGAUCAUCUUCCUGCCCUUCACCUGCAUUGGCUA
rnacentral:sRNA from 1 species